rnacentral:rRNA from 1 species
UUAAUAGUAUAAUCUGCUCCAUGAUAAUAAAUAGCCGCAAUUCGUGCUAAGGUAGCAUAAUAAUUUGUCUUUUAAAUGAAGACUAGAACAAAAGAUUUAAUAUUUAAGUGUAUUUAUUUAAUUUAAAAAAUUAAAUUUAUUUUAUAUGUAAAAAAACAUAUAUUUUAAAGAAAGACGAUAAGACCCUAUUGAACUUAACUUUAGUUAAACUGGGGCAGUAAUUUAAUUAUUAUUUUAAUUUUUAUAAAGAUUUAAUUAUCCAAAAUAAUUGAUUAAUUCAGUUACCAUAGGGAUAACAGCGCAAUUUUAUUCUAAAGUUCUUAUAUAAAAAAUAGAUUACGACCUCGAUGUUGAAUUAAUAACCUAAAUAAGGUAAGCCUUAAAAAAGGAAGUCUGUUCGACUUUUAAAAAAUUACAUGAUUUGAGUUCAGACCGGUAUAAGCCAGGUCGGUUUCUAUCUUCUAAAAACAUAUUUACAGUACGAAAGGACCUAAACAUUUAAUAUUAUUAUUUUAAUUGGCAGAGAAAUGCAUUAGAAUUAGAAUCUAAUAAAGAUUAA